CACUCAAUGCAAAAGACGGCCUUCCCCAAAGAUAUCGCCGCCGAUUUCUCCGACUCUGCUGCUCCCGUGCUGGUGACCUCUUGAAUUCUCGAUCAGUUCUCUCGUUGGCCCAUUUCCUUGGCAUCUUUUUUUGCGGACCUUCUGGUAGAGUGACGCAAAUCCUUUGUUAGCACAUUUUUUGCGGAUCGAAUUAACACAUUUGGAAAAGCGAGAUCUUUUUCGCCCGCAAUUAUGACUCAUUUAACAUCAGCUAUAUACUCGAGAAGAUAGCAAUUGAUGGUUAUUCUCUGAUAGAAAGUUAUUUUCUUUUGGGUGCACACGGCUGAUACAUCAGCUUUGGCUGAUUAAAAAUGUCAGACCGUGAGCCGAUUGAUACAAAGCAGUACCUCGAGGAAACUUGCAAGCCAAAGUGCAAAUUGGAGCCGUGAUCCAAGUACCGACAGUUAAGAUGAGGAACUUUACGAGGUUACAGGUCCAUAGUGCUGAAGUUUGUUAGAGCACCAUUAGUCGCCAUGUGUUGAGAGAAUCAAAGAAGAUGAGACUGGGCAUAAGCAUUGUACCGGGCAAUAUUUUGAUUACUGGAUGUGUAUCGACAACUGUGUUGUGCCAAAAGUUUUUGACAAGCCGAAGUGAUAGGAGAAGAAAUUAUUGCACCAUGAGUUCAAGUGAGUUACAUUUUGAGCUUUAAUAGGAGGUUUAAUGUUCAUUUUGCCACUACCAUGCACCUCCAAGCACCAAACUUGUACUUGGUCCUAAAACCAGUUGGCCUCUCUUCUCAAGAACAAUCCCUAGUGGGUAUGUUUUGGAAACCUCUGCAAGAAGGUAAUAAAGAGCAAUUCUCUGCAAGCAACUGAUCAGACAAUGAGUUUACUGAAUCUUUUUUGACAAAUGGAGUAAAAGGA